rnacentral:rRNA from 1 species
CCUCGGAUCAGGUAGGGAUACCCGCUGAACUUAAGCAUAUCAAUAAGCGGAGGAAAAGAAACCAACCGGGAUUGCCUCAGUAACGGCGAGUGAAGCGGCAAGAGCUCAAAUUUGAAAGCUGGCUCCUUCGGGGUCCGCAUUGUAAUUUGCAGAGGAUGCUUCGGGUGCAGCCCCCGUCUAAGUGCCCUGGAACGGGCCGUCAUAGAGGGUGAGAAUCCCGUAUGGGGCGGGGUGUCUGCGUCCGUGUGAAGCUCCUUCGACGAGUCGAGUUGUUUGGGAAUGCAGCUCUAAAUGGGUGGUAAAUUUCAUCUAAAGC